rnacentral:rRNA from 1 species
AACGAACGCUGGCGGCAGGCUUAACACAUGCAAGUCGAACGCAUCCUUCGGGGUGAGUGGCAGACGGGUGAGUAACGCGUGGGAAUCUACCCAUCUCUGCGGAAUAGCUCCGGGAAACUGGAAUUAAUACCGCAUACGCCCUACGGGGGAAAGAUUUAUCGGGGAUGGAUGAGCCCGCGUUGGAUUAGCUAGUUGGUGGGGUAAAGGCCUACCAAGGCGACGAUCCAUAGCUGGUCUGAGAGGAUGAUCAGCCACAUUGGGACUGAGACACGGCCCAAACUCCUACGGGAGGCAGCAGUGGGGAAUAUUGGACAAUGGGCGCAAGCUUGAUCCAGCCAUGCCGCGUGAGUGAUGAAGGCCUUAGGGUUGUAAAGCUCUUUCACCGAUGAAGAUAAUGACGGUAGUCGGAGAAGAAGCCCCGGCUAACUUCGUGCCAGCAGCCGCGGUAAGAC